UUCACGCUCCUACCCAUGUAUAAAAUAGCUCCUACCUCAAAUUCUGGCGGGCGAUUUAUGCUAGUAGCAGGAGUGCAAGUCCAACGGCGGGAGGUGGAAUUCAUUCAUAUUUUCCCCAAGUAGAUCCAAGAAAAGUCGGAGUGUGUCAGGAGUUUAUCCCCCCUCAGAAAGUGGUGACAGAAUCAACAGCUUCAACUAGAGGCCCUUCAGCCCAGUCUCCCUUUGCCCCUACAAGUGAACCAGCCCCACACCUAGAGUAUGAGUUUAUUCGAUUAGGACAACGCUCGUUAAUCAACAUUUCAGCGGUAUGCAUCAAGAAGGGUCUGCCAGCC